GUAAUGGGAGGGCUAGAUGCGCGGGACUCAAGAUCCCGUGCCUUAGGGCUUCGUGGGUUCAAAUCCCACCCCCUGCA
rnacentral:tRNA from 1 species